GAUGCAAACUAGCGUGUAUAGGAUGGAUAAACAAGGUUCUACUGUAUAGCACGGGGAACUAUAUUCAUAUCCUGUGAUAAACCAUAAUGGAAAAGAAUAUGAAAGAGAAUGUAUAUAUAUAUAACUGCGUCACUUUGCUGUACAGCAGAAAUUAACACAACAUUGCCAAUCAACUAUACUUCAAUAAAAUUAAAAAAAAAAGGUAGAAUCUAAUUCUCUUCCCCUUGAAUCUGGGCUGGCCAUAGUGACUAGCUUAACCAAUAUAAUGUGGUAGAAAUGACAUUUUGAACUUUCAAGGUUAGGUCAUAAGUCUUGCAGCAUCUGUCUGGGCCUCUUAAAAUGCUUACUGUUUGAAACACUUGCCCUAGGAAACCAGCAGCCAUGCUGGGGUCACCCAAGCCACAUGAAGGGGCCAUGUGCAGGUGUCCUGGUCAAGAGCCCUGGCUGAGCUCUCACUGGACAUCCAGCAUCAACCGUCAGCUAUGUGAGUGAGCCGUCUAGGACAUCCAGACCAGCCUCAAGUUACAAGAUGGCCUCCUCAGCUACGAGCACCAUUACAAAUAACCACAUCUAAAAACAGAAAACUGUGAGAGCAGGAAGCUUGCCAACAGCCAGGUCCCCAACCUUGUGGAGAAAGUGGUCUGGAAAAGUGAUGCUGACAUGAAGAGGAUGUUUGAGUAUUUGGUUCCAGACCUCACUAAAUCCAGUUACAUCCUUGCCAUGAACCAACGGCUCCUGAUAAUACCUUCUCCCUUCCCUUUCUAAGCCUCAGUAUCCUUAUCUAUAAAAUAAUGGGGCUGCAUCCUUCCCCCUUUAUCUCUGAUGCUCUAUUACUAUGUUCAUUAAUUUAUUCUUUCCAUCAAUUAGUCAGUCAGCAUCCCUUGUGCAUCUGUUCUGUCUCUGGCCCUAUGGUGGACACUGAGACUCUUGGUAAAGGAAUAAUUCCCAUCCCCGGUUCUCAAGACUCAGAGUUAGGCAGGGGAGGGAGUUAAGCAACCAUUCAGGACCGAGUGUGGUAACGGCUGUGACAGAGGGAAGCACAAAAACUGGGGGGAUGUCAGAGAAGGAGACAUAUCCUCAUUUGUAAGUCUUCCUGGAGGAGGUGGCAGGAGCUGAGUUUUUCAGACGGGGGUGGGCGCGGAGAGAGGAGGAAGAGUAUUCCAGGCAGAAGAACCUGCCUUUGUAAGGGCCCAAAAGAGAAUGAGAGAAAGUAGCUGCCUGGGGCCGGAGGGGAGGGGACACAGGAGAUGACCUUCUUUGUAUUUUCUAUCCAUGUAACUUCUGGGAAAACAAGAAAAAACACCAUUUUUUAAAGCUUGGAAAAUCCCCAGGGUGGAGUCUUUAAACAGGGAUGAAAAGACGUGACUUCUGACCACAGUAAAGCCCGGAAUGAAUGAUUCUUCCCCUAGUAGGCUGCCCCAUGGGUCCUUGGUCCCAUCACGAAAUCCACGCUCACAGUUGCAUUCAGCGGCUGGUCCUAAGGCUGUUGGAUCCAUCUAAAAAUAGGAAGGCCUGGAGCCUAAGGCCAAGCAGAUGACAGAAGAGCAGCCCAGGAAGGCCUGGGAGGAGUGUAAACAUCCCCACCUCAUAGGAAACACACUCAUUACAUUCUGAGCAAAAGCGGUUAAUGAUGCGCCCUGGAGAAAAUAUGCAGUUAUUGCCCCCAAACAUGCCAAAGCCCUGCUAAUGACUGCACGCCUGCUCCGAAGCAGAAGCUGUUCCAGAUGCUGCCGCUUGUCUCUGGAAGAGCCCUUCCUUCUUCCUGCCUUAGGUUCCGGAAUUUUCCUUGGAUUCUAGUCCUUAGGGAGACAUAUGGUGGGCUGGGGUGGGGAAAGUGAUUGCCCUCCUGGGCCUCACUAGGGGAUCUCUGCCUUACAGACUGCUGUGGAGGCUGUGCCUUCCUGCCUGCCUGGUGUGGUGAGGGAAGGAGGGUGCCAGGCGCGAAGCUGGGAGCCAGCGCUCUAGAUGACGCUGGGGUGAGGGAGGUGAGCUCUAAACUUGAGUAUUUUCAGCUUCUGCAUCUAUAAUGAGUAAUGAGUCUAUAGGGAAGCAGUAAUUUGCAAACUUGAAGCCCCAGACACACUCAGCGAUGGCUGCCACUGGACGAGCCCUGGGCUUGGAACUAUCUCCUGGCUGGGUGACUCUAGGCAGUUGCCCCACCUCUGUGAACCUCCAUACCCUCCUCUGUAAACUGGGGAUGGUUUUGGAAAUUAACAUUUUUUUCUCUUGUUAAAGAACUCAUGCAUGCUUAUUAUCUAUUUUUUAAAUAUGUAAUCAACCCGUCUUUGUGAUACACUCAUAUGAUUUCAAUUCAAGAGAUGCAAACGGAGGAAUUCCGCGGCGGUCCAGUGGUUAGGACUCUGCGCUUUCACUGCUGAGGGCCCGGGUUCAAUCCCUGGUAGUGUCUUCCUCUCACGCCUGUUUGAUAACCACACCAUUUCUCUUCUACCUUGCCAACUGCUAUUGGUUUCUGGUGUAUCAAAUGUAUAAAUUUUAAAAACUUUUAAAUGAGGUAUUAGCACAUAUAAACACAGCAAAAUGCAUAUAUCUCAAGAGCAAAACUUGGUGAAUAAUGUUUAUAGUUUUAAUUCCUAAAAAAAAAAGAAAGAAAAAUGACCCCAAUCUAUCACCUAGAGAUAAAACUGUUGAUAUUGUGGUGUACUUUCUUCCCAUUCUUUUUCUAUGUAUGUAUACAUACAUAAACAUUGAUACCAUACUGUGUGACUGUUUUGGGGGG